GCCUUCGUGGUUUAGUGGUCAGCACGCUGGGCGCGUAUUCCAGAGGUCCGUGGUUCGAAUCUCGGCGAGGGCA
rnacentral:tRNA from 1 species